GUCUAUGGCCAUGCCAUCUUGAACAAACCCGAUCUCAACUGAUCUCGGAAGCUAAGCAGGGUCAGGCCUGGUUAAUACUUGGAUGGGAGACCACCUAGGAUGACCAGGAACUUGUCA
rnacentral:rRNA from 1 species